CACGAGCAGUGCUUUUGCAUCGA
rnacentral:siRNA from 1 species